GCCGGGGUGGCGGAAUGGUAGACGCAGCGGACUCAAAAUCCGCCGCUGGUGACAGCGUGAGAGUUCGAGUCUCUCUCCCGGCACCA
rnacentral:tRNA from 1 species